GGAGGAUGCGAGCGUUAUCCGGAUUUAUUGGGUUUAAAGGGUGCGUAGGCGGCAUGGUAAGUCAGCGGUCAAAUCGAGGGGCUCAACCCCUUUCCGCCGUUGAAACUGUCGUGCUUGAGUGGGCGAGAAGUAUGCGGAAUGCGUGGUGUAGCGGUGAAAUGCAUAGAUAUCACGCAGAACUCCGAUUGCGAAGGCAGCAUACCGGCGCCCGACUGACGCUGAGGCACGAAAGCGUGGGGAUCGAA
rnacentral:rRNA from 1 species